GCCCGCUUGGCUUAGUGGUACAGCGUCGCACUCGUAUCUAACCGACAUGCGAAGAUCCGCGGUUGUGAGUGUGGCCGAAACUCGUCAGUUCGAUUCUUGAAGCUAACGGUAAUGUAGCGAUUCCGCGAGUGGGCA